UACGAAGGGGGCUAGCGUUGCUCGGAAUUACUGGGCGUAAAGCGUGCGCAGGCGGUGAUGUAAGACCGAUGUGAAAUCCCCGGGCUUAACCUGGGAACUGCAUUGGUGACUGCAUCGCUGGAGUAUGGCAGAGGGGGGUAGAAUUCCACGUGUAGCAGUGAAAUGCGUAGAGAUGUGGAGGAAUACCGAUGGCGAAGGCAGCCCCCUGGGCCAAUACUGACGCUCAUGCACGAAAGCGUGGGGAGCAAACAGG
rnacentral:rRNA from 1 species